CUCUUUGCACCUGAAGAACAUUUUCGUCCCCUCCUCCUUUAGUCGGUUCUGUGAAUCUCGAACUCGGUUUUCCUCCGCCUAUAUCGUUCGGUUCUACGGCGGUUAUCCCGGCGGCGAAGCUAAUUCACGGUAACGAAGAUGUUGGGUGCAACACCCAUAUUGCCACUUGAAGCUCCUCCUGCUGAUAUCAGAAAUAUCGUCGAUAAAACAGCUCAGUUCGUCGCUAAAAAUGGGCCAGAGUUUGAGAAGAGGAUUAUAGCUAGCAAUGCCAACAAUGCUACAUUCAACUUUUUGAGCGAGUCAGACCCAUAUCACGCCUAUUAUGAGCAUAAACUGUCUGAGUUUCGUGCUCAGAAUCAAGUUUCGGCUGAGCAGCCUGGUGAAUCGGCUGAGGGAGUGGGCAUUAUAUAAAGGCCUAAAGGACUGAAAGAACUUGAACGAAGUUAAAUUACAAAAUGUAUUUUUGUAUUAUUUGCAUCAAUAUUAGAAAAUAAAUUAAUCCUU